AGAGUCGACCAGAUGAUCGCUGCCGCGCAAGCGGGAGAGGAAAGUCCGGGCUCCACAGGACAGGGUGCCAGGUAACGCCUGGGCGGAGAGAUCCGACGGAAAGUGCCGCAGAAAAGAUACCGCCUAAGCCCCUCGGGGCCGGUAAGGGUGAAAUGGUGCGGUAAGAGCGCACCGCGCAGCUGGCAACAGUUGUGGCAUGGUAAACCCCACCCGGAGCAAGACCAAAUAGGAAAGCUUGCACUUGUUGCAGUCUGUGGUCCGCAGGCGCUUUCGGGUAGGUUGCUCGAGGGAUGUGGUGACGCAUCCCCUAGAUGAAUGAUUAUCCACGACAGAACCCGGCUUAACGGUCGGCUCUCACC
rfam:Solemya pervernicosa gill symbiont isolate Sp-SM6 Selarraichensis_sym_scaffold2, whole genome shotgun sequence.